rnacentral:rRNA from 1 species
UGGGGAAUAUUGGACAAUGGGCGAAAGCCUGAUCCAGCAAUGCCGCGUGAGUGAUGAAGGCCUUAGGGUUGUAAAGCUCUUUUACCCGGGAUGAUAAUGACAGUACCGGGAGAAUAAGCUCCGGCUAACUCCGUGCCAGCAGCCGCGGUAAUACGGAGGGAGCUAGCGUUGUUCGGAAUUACUGGGCGUAAAGCGCACGUAGGCGGCUAUUCAAGUCAGAGGUGAAAGCCCGGGGCUCAACCCCGGAACUGCCUUUGAAACUAGAUAGCUAGAAUCUUGGAGAGGUCAGUGGAAUUCCGAGUGUAGAGGUGAAAUUCGUAGAUAUUCGGAAGAACACCAGUGGCGAAGGCGACUGACUGGACAAGUAUUGACGCUGAGGUGCGAAAGCGUGGGGAGCAAACAGG